rnacentral:rRNA from 1 species
GAUGAACGCUGGCGGCGUGCCUAAUACAUGCAAGUCGAGCGAACAGACGAGGAGCUUGCUCCUCUGACGUUAGCGGCGGACGGGUGAGUAACACGUGGAUAACCUACCUAUAAGACUGGAUAACUUCGGGAAACCGGAGCUAAUACCGGAUAAUAUAUUGAACCGCAUGGCUCAAUAGUGAAAGACGGUUUUGCUGUCACUUAUAGAUGGAUCCGCGCCGCAUUAGCUAGUUGGUAAGGUAACGGCUUACCAAGGCAACGAUGCGUAGCCGACCUGAGAGGGUGAUCGGCCACACUGGAACUGAGACACGGUCCAGACUCCUACGGGAGGCAGCAGUAGGGAAUCUUCCGCAAUGGGCGAAAACCUGACGGAGCAACGCCGCGUGAGUGAUGAAGGUCUUCGGAUCGUAAAACUCUGUUAUUAGGGAAGAACAAAUGUGUAAGUAACUAUGCACGUCUUGACGGUACCUGAUCAGAAAGCCACGGCUAACUACGUGCCAGCAGCCGCAGUAA